CGCGUAGGCGGCCGCCUAAGUCAGACGUGAAAUCCCUCGGCUCAACCGGGGAACUGCGUCUGAUACUGGGUGGCUUGAAUUCGGGAGAGGGAUGCGGAAUUCCAGGUGUAGCGGUGAAAUGCGUAGAUAUCUGGAGGAACACCGGUGGCGAAGGCGGCAUCCUGGACCGAGAUUGACGCUGAGGCGCGAAAGCCAGGGAGCAAACG
rnacentral:rRNA from 1 species